UGAUGACGUGACGGUUUGCUGAGUGAAUGAAGAGCGUUUCCCCUGACUGAG
rnacentral:snoRNA from 1 species